rnacentral:rRNA from 1 species
UACAGAGGGGGGCAAGCGUUGUUCGGAAUUACUGGGCGUAAAGGGCGCGUAGGCGGCCUUCUAAGUCGAACGUGAAAUCCCCGGGCUCAACCCGGGAACUGCGUCCGAUACUGGCAGGCUUGAAUUCGGGAGAGGGAUGCGGAAUUCCAGGUGUAGCGGUGAAAUGCGUAGAUAUCUGGAGGAACACCGGUGGCGGAAGGCGGCAUCCUGGACCGAGAUUGACGCUGAGGCGCGAAAGCCAGGGGAGCAAAACGGGG